GUGGGGAAUAUUGGACAAUGGGGGGAACCCUGAUCCAGCCAUGCCGCGUGUGUGAAGAAGGCCUUUUGGUUGUAAAGCACUUUAAGCGAGGAGGAGGCUACCGAGAUUAAUACUCUUGGAUAGUGGACGUUACUCGCAGAAUAAGCACCGGCUAACUCUGUGCCAGCAGCCGCGGUAAUACAGAGGGUGCAAGCGUUAAUCGGAUUUACUGGGCGUAAAGCGCGCGUAGGUGGCCUAUUAAGUCAAAUGUGAAAUCCCCGAGCUUAACUUGGGAAUUGCAUUCGAUACUGGUUGGCUAGAGUAUGGGAGAGGAUGGUAGAAUUCCAGGUGUAGCGGUGAAAUGCGUAGAGAUCUGGAGGAAUACCGAUGGCGAAGGCAGCCAUCUGGCCUAAUACUGACACUGAGGUGCGAAAGCAUGGGGAGCAAACAGGAUUAGAAACCCUUGUAGUCC
rnacentral:rRNA from 1 species